UCAAAUUUGAAAUCUGGGUCUUUUAGGCUCCGAGUUGUAAUUUGUAGAAGAUGCUUUGGGUGCGGCCCCGGUCUAAGUUCCUUGGAACAGGACGUCAUAGAGGGUGAGAAUCCCGUAUGUGAUCGGUGGCUUGCGCCCGUGUAAAGCUCUUUCGACGAGUCGGGUUGUUUGGGAAUGCAGCUCUAAAUGGGUGGUAAAUUUCAUCUAAAGCUAAAUAUUGGCCAGAGACCGAUAGCGCACAAGUAGAGUGAUCGAAAGAUGAAAAGCACUUUGGAAAGAGAGUUAAACAGUACGUGAAAUUGUUGAAAGGGAAGCGCUUGCAACCAGACUUGCGCGGGGUUGAUCAUCCGGGGUUCUCCCCGGUGCACUCGGCCUCGCUCAGGCCAGCAUCGGUUUUGGUGGUUGGAUAAAGGCCUUGGGAAUGUGACUUCUUUCGGGGAGUGUUAUAGCCCUCGGUGCAAUGCAGCCUACCGGGACCGAGGACCGCGCUUCGGCUAGGAUGCUGGCGUAAUGGUUGUAAGCGACCCGUCUUGAAACACGGACCAAGGAGUCUAACAUCUAUGCGAGUGUUUGGGUGUCAAACCCAUACGCGUAAUGAAAGUGAACGGAGGUGAGAACCCUUAAGGGUGCAUCAUCGACCGAUCCUGAUGUCUUCGGAUGGAUUUGAGUAAGAGCAUAGCUGUUGGGACCCGAAAGAUGGUGAACUAUGCCUGAAUAGGGUGAAGCCAGAGGAAACUCUGGUGGAGGCUCGCAGCGGUUCUGACGUGCAAAUCGAUCGUCAAAUUUGGGCAUAGG
rnacentral:rRNA from 1 species